CGAACGAGAUUCAGCCGACCUUCGGGGAAGCGAAGAUCUAGUGGCGAACGGGUGCGUAACACGUGAGAAACCUGCCCCAGACUUGGGAAUAACAGUCGGAAACGACUGCUAAUACCGAAUACCUUCGUAACGUCGCAUGGCGAAUCGAAGAAAGCUUUUGCGGUCUGGGAGGGUCUCGCGGCCUAUCAGCUAGUUGGUGAGGUAACGGCUCACCAAGGCAUCGACGGGUAGCUGGUCUGAGAGGAUGAUCAGCCACACUGGGACUGAGACACGGCCCAGACUCCUACGGGAGGCAGCAGUGGGGAAUCUUGCACAAUGGGCGAAAGCCUGAUGCAGCAACGCCGCGUGCGGGAAGAAGGCCUUAGGGUUGUAAACCGCUUUCAGCAGGGAAGAAACUGACGGUACCUGCAGAAGAAGGUGCGGCCAACUACGUGCCAGCAGCCGCGGUGACACGUAGGCACCAAGCGUUGUCCGGAUUUAUUGGGCGUAAAGAGCUCGUAGGCGGUUCAGUAAGUCGGGUGUGAAAACUCUGGGCUCAACCCAGAGACGCCACCCGAUACUGCUGUGACUUGAGUACGGUAGGGGAGUGGGGAAUUCCUGGUGUAGCGGUGAAAUGCGCAGAUAUCAGGAGGAACACCAGUGGCGAAGGCGCCACUCUGGGCCGUAACUGACGCUGAGGAGCGAAAGCGUGGGUAGCAAA
rnacentral:rRNA from 1 species